rnacentral:lncRNA from 1 species
CCGGCCGCGGCAGCCAUGGCCGCGCGCCUCCGCUCGCUCGCUCCCGGCCCGCCCGCCGCCCGCCGCCCGCCGCCGGGUAAAGUCUUAGGUUCAGGGAACAAAGCCUGGCUUGGUAGGGAGCUUUUCGUUCGCUCGCUCCGCGCUCAUUUUCCCUCUUUCUUUUGCUUUCUGUGGCUCUCGGUUGGCGCUCCUGAGCCCUCCAUCUGCUUGCCCUUCGGUCUCAGUCCCGGGUCUCGGGUUCGCCAGCCCCUUCCGCCCAGGUCUUCGUCUCUACCACUGUUCUUCAACCCCAAGGAAACUUGGAGGUGGAGAUCAGGGCAAGGGGCGCUCGAAGCAGCGGGAGCGACGUGGGGCGCUCACCCCUCGGUGUUCGGGGGGCUUUUCGGCUGACCGCUCGUGGGCUCCUUCCUCCAAGGCCUGCCUGGAGGGUAGACACUCUUACACGCGGACAUUUGUUCAUUCAACAAAUAUUUAUUGAGUGCUUACUAUGUGUGCAGUCGUUGGGAUAGAGCCGUGAACUAAUGGGUAUUCCUGCCCUCGGGGAGCUUCCGGUCCAGCUCACAGGCGUACGCGCAGGCACAGGGACUCGGACCCCUCAGAGCCACACCGAGGCACCCGCAGACACACAGACUCACUCUAAGCCUCAUCCAGCCACACUCCCCUCCCCUCCCAGAGGGGCACAAACCGCAUGUCCAGCCUUCAGGCGCGCUUAGAGACCCACGCGAGUUAGAGAGCCGCUACCGCGGAAGUGCUCACAAAUAACACAUUUACACCUGACCUCGAUGCACGCACACAAACACACCACUUAAACUCACACACAACACCCCCAAAGAAUUAAAGUCUCUGAAGUUGGGUCUGGGUAAAAAGUGAGGGGGCUUCAGCCCGAAGGUUUCAUCCCCAAGAUCGUUGUGGGAAAGGGGGACGAAAUCUGACCCCACCCCACACUUCCUAAAGCGGGGGGUGGACGCCCGCAGGGACCAAAGGUCACACUCCCGCAGCGUGAGAUGGGGCGGCGGAGGGGAGAAGGCAGCCCUGGGGGCUUCAGCGCCACUUCAAAGACGUCGGGGCCGGGAACGCUUCCUGCGGGGGAGGGGCAGACGGAGAGGAGUGGGGAAAACCGGCAGGGGGAACUGAGGGUGGAGGAGGCCGUCCCCCCUUCGGCACAGGCCCCCCUGGCCGACUCUUCCGCCGGGACCGCCUCCUUUUCACCAGCACCUGUUCAACCGGAACAUCAAGGGGCUGGGGCCCGCCACUACCCCUCCCUUCGCGUCUAUUUAGUACCUUUCAUCCGGGAAAGGGGGGGUGAAUCCCCGCCCAGGAGGAGGGAGUAGGGCGGGGGAGAACUUGUCCUUGACCUGGUCUGUGGCGUCAGGGAUUUACUCCCUUAAUCCCCGCAAGGCUGGGGUUUGGGGAGGUAGGGGAAGCUGAGUUCUGGGCUGCAGCUCCCAUCUCUCCAUGCUCCUGCCGGGACACGGGAAUCCGGAGGGCUGCCAGGACGAAGAGUCUCUGUCUAAACGGGCGGGGUUGGGGAGGUCUGUUUCUGCGGCUUCCGUGCCUGGGGGUGGGGGACGAGAACUAGGGGAUUGUUAGGGGCCGGCCCGAGGUCCGGGAUCCCCGGGAGGGCUGCCACGCGCCGCUAUCUUGGUCUGUCUUGUGAACUUCGCUCAUACGAAAAGUUAAGACGCAGACGAGAAGUCUUAUUUAGGAGUUUCUAACGAAUUAUCUUUGCUGACAAGAGUAAAACAUCAAGGAAGUUAAACGCAGAAAUGUCAGCUCUAGCCACGUGCCACUUUCGGAGUAUUUGAAUACUCGCUUUCGGGACCGACCUUGGCCGAGGUGACCGACUGCAGUUUCAGGUUUCGCUGGACGAGGGUCAUUCGAAGACCCGUCGGUCCCUACACCCAGGGGUGGGUGACAUGGAGACUGGGACCGAGGAGCCUUUGUCCAGGUCCUCAUCGCGUUCGGGUGCACUGCCCUCGCUUGUGGGAUGAACGAGCGGCGAUACUUGGGCGUUUAGUAAGUGUAUCAGGAACGCUGUUUCGUUUAAUCCACCCACAUUAAGCCACCGCGUUUCGUUUAAGCCACAUCUUUGGGGUGGAUGUUAAUAUCCCCAUUUUAUAGAUGGAGCAACUGAGGUUCUGGCAAAUGAAGUGACUUGCCCAAAGUCACACGGUCUGAACACGGCAGAGCGGAAUUGAACCCAGUGUGUACUCGGCUAGGGCUAGGGCUCCGCCACCAUGUGUUCGCUAAAUGCCUGUGUCGAAUUGGGAUGUCCGCCCUUCGCAAAUGUUCCCUUCCGAGGUCUUGGGAAAACUGGUGCCCUGCGGGCUGGGAUGGAGUCGCAGCGGGUACUCCCAGGGCUGAGCUGUCAAGCUCCUUCUACAUCUUCUAACAUCUUCCUGAGCGCCUACUAUGUGCCGAUCCACGGAAAACAGCCAAGAGCAGGACCCCGCCAACAAGUGGUUCAAGUUCAUCGCGCUCUCCUUGGAAUAACGGAGUACAGAUCUGGGCUGUCAGACUGAUCCUGGCUGUGCAGUUUUCGGCGAGUGACUUCACCUCUCAGAAGCCCAGCUUGCCCCUCUUAAAUGGGGCAUUAACUCCCUCUGAUGGGGCUGCGGCGAAGAUCUAACGAAAAUCCUUUUGUAAACCGCUAGGGCACACAGUAGGUGCUCAGUCCCUGCUCGUCCCCUCUCCGCCCCGCUAAACGUGCCAGGGCAGCGCGUUCCCGCUCCUGCUUCCCGCCUCUGGCACGCACACCGGCCUCGCGCGUCCCGCGGCUAAGGGACUGGGGCAGAGAGGACCAAACAGAAAAUUAUUUCCGCCCGCUCGGCCCGCCCCGCCCCGCCCCGCCCCGCCCGUCCCCGGAGCCAGAAGGGGAUUGUGGGGCCGCCGCGGCCGCCGCCGGAGCGGAGCUGGGCGGAAGCGCGCAUCGCGCUGCUGCUCGGGCCCGACCGCGCCGGCCCCCGCACCUCCCUGCCCGGGACUGGGGGUUGUGGUCGGGGCGGUCCCGGGAUCCGAGGCGGCUGCCGCGGAGCGCGUUUCCACGAAGCCUUGCUCGCUGGUUCCCGGAACUGAGCGGGGGAGGCUGAAGAGUGUUGAGGUUUCGCUUCUGUUAGCGGGCGGGGCGCUGGGUUUUGCCGGUCCCGGGGGCGCGCCCUCCCCAUUAGAAAGCCCCAGUCUCCGGGAAGGAACUGCGCCGGCGCCUGUGGCUUUGCAUUUUAUUUGCGUCUCGUUUGCAUAUCACUUUCUCCCCCGAAAGCAAAGCCUCUGACCUUGGGGGUGUUCAGAGAGGUUAAGUUACUUUCCCGAGGUAACCCAGCCAGUAAGAGGCCGCAGGUGGUUUACCUGCUGGUUGGGAGAGCCAGGCACGGCCAAAAACACCGAGGGGGCGCUAGAGUCAGAAAGACCGGGAUUUGGUACUUAGUCAUUUACUGGCUUUGACCACGGAUUAGUAAUGCCCGAUCGGGAACCCUCAGUUUCCCCAUCUCAAAAUGCGGACGUCGUAUGAACCUUAGGGUUGAUGUGAGGAGCUACCCCGACCAGGGCCUGGCAAAGGGAAGGGUGAUUUCCCCGUCAAAGGUGAGGACUGCCAUGGUCUCUACGGCAGGCUUGACUGGGGCGCGAGAGUGGGUGAUCGCGUUUUUUACUAAGUCAGACAUCCUGUGCAAGAGGGAUAGGGCGCGAUUUAAAGAGGAACUGGUGGGAGUGAGGGGAUUCCCCAAGCAUUAGGCGGCCAGUCGUCGUGAUUAUUGUAAAGAGUGACUCUACCAGGUGGGAUUUUUGGCGUUUCAGAUCUUUCUACGGGAAAAGCACAGUGCUUAGGGUCAAAUCCUGCCUCUGCCAUCAGCUAGCAGUGUAACAGGGUCUCACUGCCUUUGUUUGCCAAUCUGGGAAAUGGGGAUAAUUGGGUCCCUUCCCCCUCUCUGCAAGGCUUUGGCAACUCCAGGCAGCCAAGGUGUUUUAAGAGCUAUGGCUGAGCCCAUCCAGUCCCUAUGGCCAUGUUAGGACAUAAGGGACUUCCUUCAGUGAGUUAAAGGUGGAGGAAGGGAAGAGGUUCGUUGGGUGAGGUAGCCGUCUGCCCAGACUUUUUCCAGAGCUAGUUGGAGUCUAGUCCCAGCCCUACCCCUAACCAGCUGUGUGACCUAGGACCAAGCAGUUGCCCUCUCUGGCAUUUGGUUGGGGGACUGGAUCUUGAAAAUCCCCUUGGAGUUAACAUGCUGUGGUUGAUGAUUUUGCUCUUGGGGAAAUUUCCAGGCUAAGAGAUGAGAAUAGCACAUUUGCCCGGCUAUGUUCCUCUUUCCCACCAGUUCCUCCUGAAGUCUAAUCACUCCUCCUGUCAUUGUUGCCAUCAGGACAGAAGUUGAAUAGGUUGUGUUAUUCCAUCUUUCGGCAAACACUUCAUUGAAUUGUCAUGGGCACGCCCUAGGAUAUACACAGAUAGUACCUGGGAUGGUGGGAAUGACAGAUAUAGAGAGAAAUGACUUCAAUUCAAGAUGAUCAAGGAGUUCCUGCUGUGGUUCAGUGGGUUAUGAUCCAGCUUGUUUCUGUGGAGGCACCACUUCAACCCCCCGGCCCUGUGGCGUGGGUGAAGGAUCCAGUGUUGCUGCAGCUGCA